UAGGGAAUAUUGGGCAAUGGACGCAAGUCUGACCCAGCCAUGCCGCGUGCAGGAUGAAGGCCUUCUGGGUUGUAAACUGCUUUUAUCUGGGAAGAAAACACCCCUGCGGGGGGAACUGACGGUACCAGAUGAAUAAGCACCGGCUAACUCCGUGCCAGCAGCCGCGGUAAUACGGAGGGUGCAAGCGUUGUCCGGAUUUAUUGGGUUUAAAGGGUGCGUAGGCGGCCCGGUAAGUCAGUGGUGAAAGCCCAUCGCUCAACGAUGGAACUGCCAUUGAUACUGCCGGGCUUGAGUACAGACGAGGUAGGCGGAAUUGAUAGUGUAGCGGUGAAAUGCAUAGAUACUAUCAAGAACACCGAUUGCGUAGGCAGCUUACUAGGCUGUAACUGACGCUGAGGCACGAAAGCGUGGGGAGCGAACA
rnacentral:rRNA from 1 species